UACGUAGGUGGCAAGCGUUGUCCGGAUUUACUGGGCGUAAAGGGCGUGCAGGCGGUUUGUUUAGUCUAGGGUGAAAGCUCCCGGCUUAACUGGGAGAGGUCCUUGGAUACUGGCAAACUUGAGGGAGGCAGAGGAAAGUGGAAUUCCCGGUGUAGUGGUGAUAUGCGUAGAUAUCGGGAGGAGCACCAGUGGCGAAGGCGGCUUUCUGGGCCUUACCUGACGCUGAGACGCGAAAGCGUGGGGAGCGAACCGG
rnacentral:rRNA from 1 species